CCAAGAUCCUCGAGAGAGUUGUCUACGCCAGAUUGACAGACUUUCUUGAAUCCAACUCUCUGCUUGACCCCCUUCAGUCUGGAUUCCGCGCUGGUCACUCUGUCGAAACUGCUGUGACCAAAGUAUCCAACGAUUUAAUUGCUGCUAAAUCUCGCGGCCAAUACUCUAUCCUAAUCCUCCUUGAUCUUUCUGCCGCCUUUGACACUGUUG